UACGUAGGCAGCGAGCGUUGUUCGGAGUUACUGGGCGUAAAGAGUGCGUAGGCGGUUUUCUAAGUUUGGUGUGAAAUCUCCCGGCUUAACUGGGAGGGUGCGCCGAAGACUGGAAGGCUUGAGUAUGGGAGAGGUAAGCGGAAUUCCUGGUGUAGCGGUGAAAUGCGUAGAUAUCAGGAGGAACACCAGUGGCGAAGGCGAGUCUCUGGCACGCAUCUGACGCUGAAACACGAAAGCCAGGGGAGCGAACGGG
rnacentral:rRNA from 1 species